CACACAGCUAUAUACACAUACAUACAGACAGAUAUAAACGGUAAUUGUAACUCUGGUUCAACUUCAGCAUCACCUCACAACACGGUGAUGAAGUACUACAGAAGGGAGGAGCUAUCUCCCCAACCAUAGGAGACUGGUUUCAAGCAUCUUGAAUGGUCUUGAUCUAGAGAUCUUGAUCUGUUUUAUCUUGCAUUUAGCUGUGCCAUUCUGAGUACCUUUCUCAGAUCUGAGGCAGGGCUCUGUGUAGCUCGAAAGCCUGCCUCUCUCACCAACAGAAGUUGGUCCAAUAAAAGAUAUUACCUCAUCCACCUUGUCCUCUCUCUGCAACUGACAUGGCUACUACACUGCAUAUACCAGGCCCUUGUCCAGCCCAGGAGUAAACAAUGAGGAAUCAUCAAAGCAAAUGGGAACAGCUUGAAACUGAAAAGAAACUCCAGUCUUCAGAAACUAAGACAGGAGAGAGUUUUCUCCACUUUGAAUAUCUGUAAUGACUGAAGAAAAAAACUGCCACCCCUUUUAAAAUGGAAGGAGUUUGUACUGAAGAUCAUCCAGAAUUUGAAGGAUUGUCUGGAUCCCUCCUACAGCAGGUGCCCGGUGUGCGAACUGUGUGGAGUGUGUAUGCCAUAGUGAGCUAACUGGAAGAAUGGUUUCAUGACUUCAGGGGUUAUGAACCAGAGGGGAACAGUCCAAGCACCUGAUAAUUCAGAACUCAGGGAGGAUUUAUUUGGAGAGACUUGGGACCAGAGGGCUGCUGUUAUCGUCUCUGCAAAGAAUAACUACACUGGUGAAAGCCAAGGGACUGGGAGUGGCUUUCUCACUACAGAAGCAGCUUUGCCUCUCCUGAAAUUGACACCUCCUCAUCUAUUAUUGGGAGUGGACUACAUCCGUCCUGAUUGAAUUGGCUUUGUCAACACUGGUUCUCCACUUGUGAGGUACUCCCUUCUCUUCACAUGUCAUUACAUAAUGCCUAUAUUUGUAACUUUCACUCCAUGCAUCUGAAGAAAUGAGGUUUUUUACCCAUGAAAGCUUAUGUCCAAAUAAAUCUGUUAGUCUUUAAGGUGCCACCGGACUCCUUGUUGUUUUUGUGGCUACAGACUAACACGGCUACGCCCGGAUUACUAGUCUGUCUGAUAGUUAUUUACAGACAUAGGACAAACAAAUGCAUCCUCGUCUUAAAAUUGUUUUUAAAAAAAAUCCUAUAUGGAAGUUUAAACACUGAGCCUUAUUCAAUAAAUAUUAUACACAGCCCUCCCAACCAUGCAAAGCCUGGCAAAGCCAGAGGCAAAACCCCUAGAUUGAAAUCCUGGCUCCAGUGAAGCCAAUGGCAAAACUCCCACAGACUUCAUGGGACCAUCCCUAAUCUUCAAGAGAGAAUUAAGGUCAUUUGCCAUGCACCCCAACUCCUGACUAUCUCUUGGGCUGGAUAUGUACAAGAAUGCAAAACUGCCAGUAUAUCAUUGCAGUGUUGUGGCUGAUUUUAAAAGCACAAACUAGCUGAAACUUAAAGCUUCAAUUCCCAGAGUAAUACAUCCCUUUGUAGAGAUGCAAUACUGUUUAUUCUA